rnacentral:rRNA from 1 species
AACGAACGCUGGCGGCAUGCCUAACACAUGCAAGUCGAACGAGACCUUCGGGUCUAGUGGCGCACGGGUGCGUAACGCGUGGGAACCUGCCCUUAGGUUCGGAAUAACUCCCCGAAAGGGGUGCUAAUACCGGAUAAUGUCUUCGGACCAAAGAUUUAUCGCCUUUGGAUGGGCCCGCGUUGGAUUAGCUAGUUGGUAGGGUAAAGGCCUACCAAGGCGACGAUCCAUAGCUGGUCUGAGAGGAUGAUCAGCCACACUGGGACUGAGACACGGCCCAGACUCCUACGGGAGGCAGCAGUGGGGAAUAUUGGACAAUGGGCGAAAGCCUGAUCCAGCAAUGCCGCGUGAGUGAUGAAGGCCUUAGGGUUGUAAAGCUCUUUUACCCGGGAUGAUAGUGACAGUACCGGGAGAAUAAGCUCCGGCUAACUCCGUG